rnacentral:rRNA from 1 species
UCUUGGGUCAUUUAGAGGAAGUAAAAGUCGUAACAAGGUUUCCGUAGGUGACCUGCGGAGGAUCAUUACUGAACUGUCAACACGAGUUGUUGCUGGUCCUCAAAUGGGGGCAUGUGCACACUCUGUUUACACAUCCACUCACACCUGUGCACCCUCUGUAGUUCUGUGGCAUGGGGGACUCUGUCCUCCUGUUGUGGCUCUACAUCUUUACACACACUCUGUAACAAAGUCUCAUGGAAUGUAUGUCGCGUUUAACGCAAUACAAUACAACUUUCAGCAACGGAUCUCUUGGCUCUCGCAUCGAUGAAGAACGCAGCGAAAUGCGAUAAGUAAUGUGAAUUGCAGAAUUCAGUGAAUCAUCGAAUCUUUGAACGCACCUUGCGCCCUUUGGCUAUUCCGAAGGGCAUGCCUGUUUGAGUAUCAUGAACACCUCAACUCUCGUGGUUUGCUACGAUGAGCUUGGACUUUGGGGGUUUUGCUGGCCUGCGGUCGGCUCCUCUCAAAUGAAUCAGCUUCCCAGUGUUUGGUGGAGUCGCAGGUGUGAUAACUAUCUACGCUUGUGGUUUUUCACCAGAUAACCUUCGGUGACGGAGGUUUGCUGGGGCUCAUAAAUGUCUUUCCUCAGUGAAGACAGCCUUUGAACGUUGAUCUCAAAUCAGGUAGGACUACCCGCUGAACUUAAGCAUAUCAAUAGCCG